GUAGGGAAUAUUGGGCAAUGGAUGCAAGUCUGACCCAGCCAUCCCGCGUGCCGGAAGAAGGCCCUCAGGGUUGUAAACGGCUUUUGACGGUGAAGAAUCGACAGGAUGCGUCCUGUUUUGACGGUAGCCGUUGAAUAAGCACCGGCUAACUCCGUGCCAGCAGCCGCGGUAAUACGGAGGGUGCGAGCGUUGUCCGGAUUUAUUGGGUUUAAAGGGUGCGUAGGUUGGAAGGUCAGUCAGCGGUGAAAAGCUGUCGCUUAACGAUAGUCUUGCCGCAGAUACUUCCUUUCUUGGAUGAGGAGGAGGCCACUGGAACGGAUGGUGUAGCGGUGAAAUGCAUAGAUAUCAUCCAGAACACCGAUUGCGAAGGCAGGUGGCUGUACCUUAAUCGACGCUGAUGCACGAAAGCAUGGGGAGCAAACAGGAUUAGAAACCCCUGUAGUCC
rnacentral:rRNA from 1 species